rnacentral:rRNA from 1 species
UACUCGAGUGGCGAACGGGUGAGUAACACGUGGGUGAUCUGCCCUGCACUUCGGGAUAAGCCUGGGAAACUGGGUCUAAUACCGGAUAGGACCACAUUUUGGAUGGUGUGGUGGAAAGUUUUUCGGUGUAGGAUGAGCUCGCGGCCUAUCAGCUUGUUGGUGGGGUAAUGGCCUACCAAGGCGUCGACGGGUAGCCGGCCUGAGAGGGUGUACGGUCACAUUGGGACUGAGAUACGGCCCAG